GCUUCCUGCAGCUGAGAUCCUGUAUGAGCUUUUAGCCUGGAUGAACCUACAUUAUCAACAGGCUCACUCUCAAUUACCUUUUAAUUUUUGCUGACGUUUGGUUCUCAGCAACCUGUAGCAUUACAUUCCCUACACAACAAUCUGUUCAUGUUAUGGAAAUUUAAUGUAGUUGCCCAUUUACGAGUGCACAGAAAGGCCUAUCCUCCACUCAGUUCAGCCUUACUGACACAAAGUUGUCCGUGAAGCAGAAAGAGUUGCCAGGGAAAUGAAACCAUUUUAACAGAGGCUGCUGAAAGACCCUCAUUAAUUAACCUAUUAUGAUUUCCUGCUUUAGGGAGAAAGGCAUCAGCAGACAGCCUUGCACCACUUUUUUAUAGAUCAUGGUAGAGUUUAAACUGAAGUGAUGAGAAGGAAUUAAUGAUUUGUGCCAACUUUGAGAACACAAGUGAAGGUCCAGCAAGGCUUCCCACAGAAAUUUACAGGAGCCAUGGAUACAUACAAGAAUUCUGGAGAAGCAAGAGAAGCAAAAGAGCCAGUUGGCCACAAUCAUGUCAUUUCCAUGGAGCAUAUGAAUAAUUCAGCUGGACAUCACAAGUGGAGAAUAUGAAGCAAAGCAGCAGGGAUGCAACUGGACAGAAGGUUUGAUGGAUGUGCAGCUCACAUCCUCAUUACCACAGGAACCAGCAUAUGGGGAAAGCUGUUUAUCAGCAACACAAGCUGCAGAAAGAAAGAGCUCUCUUCUACUCCCAUCUCCUCCGAGUCUAGAAAUAAAGAUGAGAGGUAAGUAUUCUCUUCCCAGGUUAAGGCAAAGCAACUCCAUGUAAGUUUGCAGCAUUAUUCAUUUUUCAGUUUUACAUUUGGGGUCACAUAAGGUUCCUACCUAUGGUGAGUUAAUGAAUUCUAAAAAGGAUUCUCAUCUCAAUUACACUGGUAUCUACCAAGGGGUAGGAAUGCACAGGCUGUAUCUCUGGCACCUACCCUCCCUUAAGGCUACAUAUUCCCUUAAGGUGCACUUGAUGUUUGCACCCCAGAAAAGACAGAAACAAUGUCCACCUGCACCAGCACUGAUGGUCUGGAGACAGGGAGGGCAGCAACCACAGCCACAGCAGCACUCCUGGCAUUUGCACCAGAGAGACUGGGAAAACCCUGGGCUGUCUGUAGGACCCCUUGAAAGGGAAGUGGGAGAGAAAAACAAUCAGGUGAAUGGUCCUGUCACACACUAUAAGAAUCUGAGUGCUUAUAAAAGCAAAGAAGGAAAUUCCAGGUGCAGGCAUGUGAUGUGAAAACUUAAAGAUGCUUGUUGUUGCAAAAUACACAGAGAUAGGUUAAUUUCAAAAUACAGACAUACAAAAACCUGUCAAAACCAACAAUACAAGGAUUAAAAUCUGCCCUCACUGAACAUGAGGGGAACUAUGUAUUUCAAGUUGUAGCCAAGAUUUCACUCAAGCAGGAGUAAUUUGAAUUUCUCAUAUUUUCAAAGAUUUAGAGUCCUUGUACAAAUAUUAGUUACAACUGAAAUUUUCUAGUGAAACAUCAUGUCUGCUGACUGCUAGAAGAUGAAACUAGAAGCAGACCAAAGCACGAAAAGCACUGGGUUUUUGUGAGGAUAAUAGACAUGGAGACACACUGUAUAUUGCUUCAGAAACACACUGAAUCGGGAGGAACGCUGGGCUCUGAAGACAUGUAAGUCAGUGACAAGCAGUCACUUUGAGAAAGAAAUUACAGAAAACCAAGCCCAGUGAUAGCAUCUUGUGACACUUCCCUGCAAAGCAGGGAAGAAUAAACACAUCUGGUAAAAAUAGGAGGCAGAUUCAUCUGUUUCUAAAAUUUGAAGCAGCUGGCAUCAUUUCCCAGGCAUCUCCUGCUUGUUUGCCUGCUUUUGUAAAGUCAAGAGGAAGAAGAAAAACUAAAUUAUGCCAGCAAGAAGAUGAUUGUACCCAAUGGACACUUGUGCAUUUCAGCAUGCAUAGUGAUGGGAAGAAUAUGUAACUGCAAAUGCUGUAUAAGCACUGUAAAUAAUAAUUUGUGUGACUUGGGAAAAACUCAUAACAAGACAAUAAGGAGCACACAGAAAAAUAAAUAACAGGUAACCCUAAAGGAAACAA